rnacentral:rRNA from 1 species
GUGCCAGCCGCCGCGGUAAUACAGAGGUCUCAAGCGUUGUUCGGAUUCAUUGGGCGUAAAGGGUGCGUAGGUGGUGGGGUAAGUCGGAUGUGAAAUCCCGGGGCUCAACCCCGGAACUGCAUUCGAUACUGCCUUGCUCGAGUACUGGAGAGGAGACUGGAAUUUACGGUGUAGCAGUGAAAUGCGUAGAUAUCGUAAGGAAGACCAGUGGCGAAGGCGAGUCUCUGGACAGUUACUGACACUGAGGCACGAAGGCCAGGGGAGCAAACGGGAUUAGAUACCCGUGUAGUCC